rnacentral:rRNA from 1 species
GUGACCUCAAAUCAGGUAGGACUACCCGCUGAACUUAAGCAUAUCAAUAAGCGGAGGAAAAGAAACUAACAAGGAUUCCCCUAGUAACUGCGAGUGAAGCGGGAAAAGCUCAAAUUUAAAAUCUGGCAGUNUUUUGGCUGUCCGAGUUGUAAUCUAGAGAAGUGUUAUCCGCGCUGGACCGUGUACAAGUCUCCUGGAAUGGAGCAUCAUAGAGGGUGAGAAUCCCGUCUUUGACAUGGACUGCCAGGGCUUUUGUGAUGCGCUCUCAAAGAGUCGAGUUGUUUGGGAAUGCAGCUCAAAAUGGGUGGUAAAUUCCAUCUAAAGCUAAAUAUUGGCGAGAGACCGAUAGCGAACAAGUACCGUGAGGGAAAGAUGAAAAGAACUUUGGAAAGAGAGUUAAACAGUACGUGAAAUUGCUGAAAGGGAAACGCUUGAAGUCAGUCGCGUCGUCCAGGGAUCAACCUUGCUUUUGCUUGGUGCACUUCCUGGUUUGACGGGUCAGCAUCAAUUUUGACCAUUGGAAAAAGGUCGAGGGAAUGUGGCAUCUUUGGAUGUGUUUAUAGCCCUUGGUCGCAUACAAUGGUUUGGGAUUGAGGAACUCAGCACGCCGCAAGGCCGGGUUUAAACCACGUACGUGCUAGGAUGC